rnacentral:rRNA from 1 species
AUUGAACGCUAGCGGGAUGCUUUACACAUGCAAGUCGAACGGCGUCGCGGAAGGGUGCGUAAUAUAUCGGAACCUGCCCAGUAGAGGGGGAUAACUCCUAGAAAGAGUGGCUAAUCCCGCAUCCUAUUGGAGCGGCCGAUAUCGGAUUAGCUAGUUGGUGGGGUAAAGGCUAACCAAGGCAACGAUCCGUAGCUGGUUUGAGAGGAGGACCAGCCACGCGGGGACUGAGACACGGCCCAGACGCCGACGGGAGGCAGCAGGGGGGAAUUGUGGACAAUGGGGGAAACCCUGAUCCAGCCAUCCGGCGUGUAGGAAGAAGGCCUUCGGGUGGUAAAGUACUUUCAGUCGGGAGGCGUUACCGACAGAAGAAGCACCUGCUAACUCCGUGCCAGCAGCCGCGGUAAUUC